rnacentral:rRNA from 1 species
UACGGGGGGAGCAAGCGUUGUUCGGAUUUACUGGGCGUAAAGGGCGCGUAGGCGGCGCAACAAGUCACUUGUGAAAUCUCCGGGCUUAACCCGGAGCGGCCAAGUGAUACUGUCGUGCUAGAGUGCGGAAGGGGCUACUGGAAUUCUCGGUGUAGCGGUGAAAUGCGUAGAUAUCGAGAGGAACACCUGCGGCGAAGGCGGGUAGCUGGGCCGACACUGACGCUGAGACGCGAAAGCCAGGGGAGCGAACGGG